GAUGAACGCUGGCGGCGUGCUUAACACAUGCAAGUCGAACGAAGCACCUUGAUUCGAUUCGUCGGCUGCAGAGCUUGGUGGCUGAGUGGCGGACGGGUUAGUUACGCGUGGGUAACCUGCCUCAUACAGGGGGGUAACUGUUAGAAAUGUCUGCUAGUACCGCAUAAGGGCACAGCACAGCAUGGUGCAGCGGUAAAAGCUCCGGUGGUAUAAGAGGGACCCGCGGCUGAUUAGGUAGUGGGCAGGGUAACGGCCUACCAAGCCGACGAUCAGUACCCGAGAAGUGAGGGUCACCCGACACAUUGAGGGUAAGACGCAGUCCAAAAUCUUACGCGAGGGAGGAGAGGGGAAUACUGCAAAGUGGGGUGUGCGCUGAAGGAGCGACGCCGCGUGAGCGAUGUAGUAUGGCGGUAAGUAAAGCUCUAUCAGAAGGGAAGAAAAUGACGGUACCUGACGAAGAAGCACCGGCUAAAUACGUG
rnacentral:rRNA from 1 species